CGGGUGGGGAUGCAGGGGCUCCGGAUCCAGAUCCCCAGCCAUCUCGCCAUCUCUUCCUGCUGGGAGACAGAGUGAGCUAAGAAAGGAGAGGCGUGCCAAUGAAUUAAUGCACGGGGAACUGAGUAGGGAAGAUGAGAAAAGACCGCAGCACAAGGAGAACCGUAACUAGUCAGCUCACCAAGCGGCUGUUUCCUACUCUAAGCUGUAAUUGCACAGGACUUAAGUGCCUUGAACGUGUGAGCCGCCACGCCGGGGGCACGACAGGAUGGAUGGGCUGGAUCCUGCUCUCCCGUGCAGACAAGCAGAGGAAGCAAGGAGACACGAUGAGUCUCGGAGGGAAGGCACUUGCCUCCACUGCCUUCGCUGUGACCAGCGCGGCCAGGAGCGGCGCUGAGCCAGGGUCCCCUGUGCACGCUGCUUGCAUGGCUCCAAAGGAUGGAGGGGGCUGUGGGGUCACAAGCCCCCCUGAAUGCUGACCUGAGCUUGCUUCCCUCUGGCCUGUGGGUUCCUGGAGCCCAGGACCGCUCCUGUGUCCACCCCACACUUAGAGUCGCUGGCCAGUGUGUGCUUUGGAGCUUCCGGCAUGUUCUUUCUGCCCACAACAUCUGACCCGUCUGUGGGUUACCAGACUUCAUUCAUCUCCCCUGGAAACCUUUCCCGAACUCGAACCUAGAUUUCCUUCAAAUACGUGCGCACCUGGCUCCCGUGUCUUCUGCAUUCAUUACUGCCGGCGAGAAACCGGAGGACAGCCUGAUUUUUGUCCCUGUAAUGUUCUCCUGCCAGAAAGCUGAAAGAUGACAUUUUCAGUC
rnacentral:lncRNA from 12 species